UGGAAAAAGGCAAACUUGCCGAAAGGCAAGGACGCAAAGCUAUAGGGACUAAAAUCUUAGGAUCAAGUCAGCCAGCU
rnacentral:ncRNA from 1 species